CCUACGGGAGGCUGCAGUGAGGAAUAUUGGUCCAUUGGCGUAAGCCUGAACCAGCCAAGUCGCGUGAGGGAUGAAGGUUCUAUGGAUCGUAAACCUCUUUUAUAAGGGAAUAAAGUGUGGGACGUGUCCUGUUUUGUAUGUACCUUAUGAAUAAGGAUCGGCUAACUCCGUGCCAGCAGCCGCGGUAAUACGGAGGAUCCGAGCGUUAUCCGGAUUUAUUGGUUUUAAAGGGUGCGUAGGCGGCCUUUUAAGUCAGCGGUGAAAGUCUGUGGCUCAACCAUAGAAUUUCCGUUGAUACUGGGAGGCUUGAGGAUGUUUGAGGCAGGCGGAAUGCGUGGUGUAGCGGUGAAAUGCUUAGAUAUCACGCAGAACCCCGAUUGCGAAGGCAGCCUGCCAAGCCAUGACUGACGCUGAUGCACGAAAGCGUGGGGAUCAAACAGGAUUAGAUACCCCGGUAGUC
rnacentral:rRNA from 1 species